rnacentral:lncRNA from 1 species
GCCAACAUUAAGUAUUUCCUCCUAGUGUUUAACAACCAGAUGUUCUCCAACCCGUGCGUCCUCUCCAACCUGAGGUUGCGGGGCACUUCCCGCUCCCUCUGCCCAGUGAGCUUCGGAAGUUGCAAACUCCCGAAAUCCGCCCCCACCCCUGAAAGUGCACGCGGACUCACGAACUCCCAUCUGCAGCGCCAGAGACGCGACCAUCAGCUCCAAGGCUGGAGGACCCCACAUGCCACCGCACAAUGCCAACCGGAACGCACAGAGAGACGCGGGAAGAGGGAGGAGGGGGCGAGACUCACCGUUCUGCUCCUUGUCGCUGGAGAGCUGCAACUUGCUGCUCAGGUUGGACUCAGCCUGAGUCCCUGUUCUCUGGCCGGCCAGGGCAGAUGUCAGCAGGAGGAGGCCGAGGAGGAGCAUUUGGCUGCUGGGGCGAGGGCUCACUCGC